ACUCAAAUGAAUAGACGGGGGCCCGCACAAGCGGUGGAGCAUGUGGUUUAAUUCGACGCAACGCGAAGAACCUUACCCAGGCUUGACAUGCAUCGGACCGGCGUUGAAAGACGCCUUCCCCUCGGGGCCGGUGCACAGAUGCUGCAUGGCUGUCGUCAGCUCGUGUCGUGAGAUGUUGGGUUAAGUCCCGCAACGAGCGCAACCCUUGUCGCUAGUUGCCAUCAUUCAGUUGGGCACUCUAGUGAGACUGCCGGUGGUGAACCGGAGGAAGGUGGGGAUGACGUCAAGUCCUCAUGGCUCUUACGCCUGGGGCUACACACGUGCUACAAUGGCCGGUACAAAGGGUCGCAAUGCCGCGAGGUGGAGCCAAUCCCAAAAAGCCGGCCUCAGUUCGGAUCGGAGUCUGCAACUCGACUCCGUGAAGUCGGAAUCGCUAGUAAUCGCUGAUCAGCAGGCAGCGGUGAAUACGUUCCCGGGCCUUGUACACACCGCCCGU
rnacentral:rRNA from 1 species